CCUUCUACUUUUGCAGUAGCGAAGUUUGACUUGUAAAUCUUUUCUUCUACUUGAGCCGGAGCGAACGUUGAAAACAACUCCUUAUUAGCACAAACACGGCAUGUGGCACCAAAAUUCAUCCACCAUUCGCGAAGAUUUCCCACCAAGUUGCAUUCGGAAAGCAUAGCACACAGAUCAUCCAUUUCUUUCUUAGGCUCAGCCAAAUUUGCUUGGUCCUUCUUCUUCCCUUUCUUCGAGGCACGGCAAUCCGUAUACUUGUGGCCAAUCUUGCCACAGUUGAAGCGCUUUCCCUUGAAUUUCUUCUUGGGUUGAUUGCUUUCAUUUCCAGCUUUCUUUCAUUUUUUUGAGUUGUUUUGGUCAUCUUCUACAAUGCUUGCUCCAUUCAUUGCAGAAUUGCCUCUUGACCUUCUUUCCGUAGUCUUAUUAUCUUCUUUAAUGCGUAGUCGUACAAUCAAAUCUUUGACUGACAUCUCCUUUCGUUUGUGUUUUAAAUAGUUCUUGAAGUCUUUCCAUAAAGGUGGUAGCUUCUCUAUUAUAACAGCUUUUUG
rnacentral:lncRNA from 1 species